rnacentral:piRNA from 1 species
UGCAAACAUGCUCCUGUGUUACGUGUCC